GGGCGUUUGGUCUAGGGGUAUGAUUUUCGUAAGUUAUCAAUAUUAUAGCUUGUGGGUUACAGUAGAACCCCACACUAACGGUAAUAGGCUUCGCACCAUCAAGCGCGCUUGUGAAAGGUCAUGGGUUCAAUUCCCAUAACGUCCA